rnacentral:lncRNA from 1 species
UACUCAGGAGGCUGAGGAUUGCUUGAACCCAGGAGGUCAAGCCUGCAGUGAGCUGUGAUCACGCCACUGCACUCCAGCUUGGGCAACUCCCCAACACCCACCCUCCACAAAAAAAAAAAAAAAAAAAAGAAAAAGAGUUCUUAGCCAUUUUGUAAUCUUAAGAAUGAUGAAAGCCAUAUGCUUAUGUAAUGGAAACAAAAGAAGACGGGUCUUUGAUGAACAUGAAAUGGAGUGUCAUAUCAGCCCUGAAACCACUACUUCUGAACUUCCUUUGCAUGAGAAAUACAUUUGUAUCUAGUUUAUCUUGUUACUGAGUUUUCUGUUGUAUGCAGCUGGACCUAACUCUUAAAUGAUACUCAGUCUGAAGAUAAAAUUAUCACAAGAAUAUAAACCAUCGCAAAGGCCUUGAGCACACCUGGAUCCCUACUAUUGCCCCUUGUCUUCACAUCUGCAUUUCUUUCUCAGAGCAUUGAUGUUGUUCAAAUUUCCUUCUUCAACAUUUCCUUUAAUAUCUCCCUCCUCCUUUCAGUAGAUUCCAGGCCCCACUCACAGGGGUUGGUCUCAUACCAGGAUCCAUCCUCUUUUCCCAAGCCAAGCAUUUUCUCAGGUCUGAAUUAUUCAUUUGAUUUAAAAUAUGGCUCUAGCAAGAAAAUCCACGGUGGGUGUGGGUAGUCCAAGUUCAGUUCCCUUGGAGAUAUUUCCACCUAAUUCCUCCUGGUGCCCAGUAAAUAACUAUUAUGUUAAACACACCCACAUCUCCCAAAGACAGGCAUUAAUUCUGAGAAACGGUAUUACACUGUGAGUACAUGUACGUUUUCCACGCUGAGAAAGAGAAACAUUUGACUCCUAUAAUCAAUGUAACUUUACCCCUGCUCACUAUCAAGAUAGCAUUUUAUUUUGCAGAACAAUGUCAGCUCUUUUUUAUCUUCUAGUUUUCAGAUUGUGCCUAACCAAGCAUUUAAAAAAAAUAAAAAGAUGUUUGAAAUUAGCUUAAAAAUCAGGCCCCCAAAUUGAGCUAUCCAUCUCUCUUUCUUGUUACUGCUUUGCUACACCAAGAUCAAGCUUUGGAAAUACCCCAUGUAUUUAUUCUGUGCCAAAUUAAAUUUUUGUAGGUGUCAUCCUCCUACUACC